rnacentral:rRNA from 1 species
UGCAAGUCGAACGGAAAGGCCCUGCUUGCAGGGUACUCGAGUGGCGAACGGGUGAGUAACACGUGGGUGAUCUGCCCUGCACUUCGGGAUAAGCCUGGGAAACUGGGUCUAAUACCGGAUAGGACCAUCGUUUAGUGUCGGUGGUGGAAAGUUUUUUCGGUGUGGGAUGAGCUCGCGGCCUAUCAGCUUGUUGGUGGGGUAAUGGCCUACCAAGGCGUCGACGGGUAGCCGGCCUGAGAGGGUGGACGGCCACAUUGGGACUGAGACACGGCCCAGACUCCUACGGGAGGCAGCAGUGGGGAAUAUUGCACAAUGGGCGCAUGCCUGAUGCAGCGACGCCGCGUGGGGGAUGACGGCCUUCGGGUUGUAAACUCCUUUCAACCAUGACGAAGCUUUCGGGUGACGGUAGUGGUAGAAGAAGCACCGGCUAACUAC